CAGCACUGUCUGGAGCACUGGCCCCCCUGCUGUGGCAGGAAGGGCAAGGAGCAAGGGCUAACCCACACCAAACACCAACCCCAGCACCGUGUCGGGGCCACUGCCAGCUGCAAGUGCCUGGACUCUGCCCUAUUGCCUUCCUGUCCCCAAGCUGGGCUGUGGAUGUCACCUGCAGCAGCCGCUUGUUGCCAUGUGCAUCAUGAUCCCAUGGGAUGUUUGCCACCUUCUGCUCCCCAUUUCCUACCAUGUGUAUCCAGGAGAGAUACACACAUGCAUCCUUGGCCCACAGGAAACCAUUCACACUAAAGCCAGGCUGCAGCUCCACAAAGCUGCUCCAUUCCCAGGAGCACCGGCUCCUAACUCCCAGCAUGUGCGUUCCCAUACACAAAGGGACUCCAGACCAGAAGCCAUCUGGCCGCACCCAAUUCCCCUUCUCCAGAACAUCCAUGGAACUGCUCUGAUCAAGGGAAGGAGCCAACCAUCCAGCUGCAGCUCCACCUUCCCAGCACUGCCAGAUGUGCCUCCACGUUGUGUUGCACCUGCAACCCACUCUGGAGAUCCUUCCCUGCCUCCUGCGCUGCUGACCACCAGCUCCACGGGAUCCCCAGCCUGUCCCUGUAGGUCCUCCAACGGCUUGUGCCGUGGACUGCUGAGCUCCCCCUCUGCGCUCAGCAUGCCCUUUUCUGGUGCAGCCAGACUCUCCCAGGAAUCACUCUGGAGCUCGAGGCCAUCCUGUAGGGUAAGGUGAUCCAGCCAAGGUGCUGCCUGUGCCAGGGCUGCUCUGCCAAGCUAACGUACGU
rnacentral:lncRNA from 1 species